rnacentral:rRNA from 1 species
AUGCACGCUGGCGGCGUGCCUAAUACAUGCCAGUCGAGCGAACGGACGAGAAGCUUGCUUCUCUGAUGUUAGCGGCGGACGGGUGAGUAACACGUGGAUAACCUACCUAUAAGACUGGGAUAACUUCGGGAAACCGGAGCUAAUACCGGAUAAUAUUUUGAACCGCAUGGUUCAAAAGUGAAAGACGGUCUUGCUGUCACUUAUAGAUGGAUCCGCGCUGCAUUAGCUAGUUGGUAAGGUAACGGCUUACCAAGGCAACGAUGCAUAGCCGACCUGAGAGGGUGAUCGGCCACACUGGAACUGAGACACGGUCCAGACUCCUACGGGAGGCAGCAGUAGGGAAUCUUCCGCAAUGGGCGAAAGCCUGACGGAGCAACGCCGCGUGAGUGAUGAAGGUCUUCGGAUCGUAAAACUCUGUUAUUAGGGAAGAACAUAUGUGUAAGUAACUGUGCACAUCUUGACGGUACCUAAUCAGAAAGCCACGGCUAACUACG